AGCUUUGUGCAGUGGCAGUAUCGUAGCCAAUGAGGUUUAUUCGAGGUGUGAUUAUUGCUAAUUGAAACUUUUCCCAACACCCACCAUGAUGACUUGAAAUAUAGUGAAACUGGUCAGG
rnacentral:snRNA from 1 species